rnacentral:tRNA from 1 species
UUCCGCCCUGGUGUAAUGGCAGCACAGAGGUUUUUGGUACCUUUAGUCUGGGUUCGAAUCCUGGGGGCGGAACUUU